rnacentral:snoRNA from 1 species
AUGAACUUGCAAACAAAUGGAGAAGUUCUAUAGGAUUGUAGGAGACAGGAACAUAUGUCUAGAUGAUGAACGAAGACCGUGAGAUCAGAGCGUGAUUAACGGCUGAGAUGAUUCUCAUGUUAAGACAUCAUCUUGUGCUGUAGAUAAUCGUUCUCAGACAAACGCUAUCUGGGGUGGCCGCACGGUGCUCUUACAUACC